GGUUAAGCGACUAAGCGUACACGGUGGAUGCCCUGGCAGUCAGAGGCGAUGAAGGGCGUGCUAAUCUGCGAUAAGCGCCGGUAAGGUGAUAUGAACCGUUAUAACCGGCGAUACCCGAAUGGGGAAACCCAGUGUGACUCGUCACACUAUCAUUAACUGAAUCCAUAGGUUAAUGAGGCGAACCGGGGGAACUGAAACAUCUAAGUACCCCGAGGAAAAGAAAUCAACCGAGAUUCCCCCAGUAGCGGCGAGCGAACGGGGAGGAGCCCAGAGCCUGAAUCAGCAUGUGUGUUAGUGGAAGCGUCUGGAAAGGCGCGCGAUACAGGGUGACAGCCCCGUACACAAAAGCGCAUGUGCUGUGAGCUCGAUGAGUAGGGCGGGACACGUGGUAUCCUGUCUGAAUAUGGGGGGACCAUCCUCCAAGGCUAAAUACUCCUGACUGACCGAUAGUGAACCAGUACCGUGAGGGAAAGGCGAAAAGAACCCCGGCGAGGGGAGUGAAAAAGAACCUGAAACCGUGUACGUACAAGCAGUGGGAGCACCCUUUGGGGUGUGACUGCGUACCUUUUGUAUAAUGGGUCAGCGACUUAUAUUCUGUAGCAAGGUUAACCGUAUAGGGGAGCCGUAGGGAAACCGAGUCUUAACCGGGCGUUAAGUUGCAGGGUAUAGACCCGAAACCCGGUGAUCUAGCCAUGGGCAGGUUGAAGGUUGGGUAACACUAACUGGAGGACCGAACCGACUAAUGUUGAAAAAUUAGCGGAUGACCUGUGGCUGGGGGUGAAAGGCCAAUCAAACCGGGAGAUAGCUGGUUCUCCCCGAAAGCUAUUUAGGUAGCGCCUCGUGAAUUCAUCUCCGGGGGUAGAGCACUGUUUCGGCUAGGGGGCCAUCCCGGCUUACCAACCCGAUGCAAACUGCGAAUACCGGAGAAUGUUAUCACGGGAGACACACGGCGGGUGCUAACGUCCGUCGUGAAGAGGGAAACAACCCAGACCGCCAGCUAAGGUCCCAAAGUCAUGGUUAAGUGGGAAACGAUGUGGGAAGGCCCAGACAGCCAGGAUGUUGGCUUAGAAGCAGCCAUCAUUUAAAGAAAGCGUAAUAGCUCACUGGUCGAGUCGGCCUGCGCGGAAGAUGUAACGGGGCUAAACCAUGCACCGAAGCUGCGGCAGCGACACUGUGUGUUGUUGGGUAGGGGAGCGUUCUGUAAGCCUGUGAAGGUGUGUCGUGAGGCAUGCUGGAGGUAUCAGAAGUGCGAAUGCUGACAUAAGUAACGAUAAAGCGGGUGAAAAGCCCGCUCGCCGGAAGACCAAGGGUUCCUGUCCAACGUUAAUCGGGGCAGGGUGAGUCGACCCCUAAGGCGAGGCCGAAAGGCGUAGUCGAUGGGAAACGGGUUAAUAUUCCCGUACUUGGUGUUACUGCGAAGGGGGGACGGAGAAGGCUAUGUUGGCCGGGCGACGGUUGUCCCGGUUUAAGCGUGUAGGUGUGUGUUCCAGGUAAAUCCGGUUCACUUUAACACUGAGGCGUGACGACGAGGCACUACGGUGCUGAAGCAACAAAUGCCCUGCUUCCAGGAAAAGCCUCUAAGCAUCAGGUAACAUCAAAUCGUACCCCAAACCGACACAGGUGGUCAGGUAGAGAAUACCAAGGCGCUUGAGAGAACUCGGGUGAAGGAACUAGGCAAAAUGGUGCCGUAACUUCGGGAGAAGGCACGCUGACACGUAGGUGAAGUGAUUUACUCAUGGAGCUGAAGUCAGUCGAAGAUACCAGCUGGCUGCAACUGUUUAUUAAAAACACAGCACUGUGCAAACACGAAAGUGGACGUAUACGGUGUGACGCCUGCCCGGUGCCGGAAGGUUAAUUGAUGGGGUCAGCGCAAGCGAAGCUCCUGAUCGAAGCCCCGGUAAACGGCGGCCGUAACUAUAACGGUCCUAAGGUAGCGAAAUUCCUUGUCGGGUAAGUUCCGACCUGCACGAAUGGCGUAAUGAUGGCCAGGCUGUCUCCACCCGAGACUCAGUGAAAUUGAACUCGCUGUGAAGAUGCAGUGUACCCGCGGCAAGACGGAAAGACCCCGUGAACCUUUACUAUAGCUUGACACUGAACAUUGAGCCUUGAUGUGUAGGAUAGGUGGGAGGCUUUGAAGUGUGGACGCCAGUCUGCAUGGAGCCGACCUUGAAAUACCACCCUUUAAUGUUUGAUGUUCUAACGUGGACCCGUUACCCGGGUUGCGGACAGUGUCUGGUGGGUAGUUUGACUGGGGCGGUCUCCUCCUAAAGAGUAACGGAGGAGCACGAAGGUUGGCUAAUCCUGGUCGGACAUCAGGAGGUUAGUGCAAUGGCAUAAGCCAGCUUGACUGCGAGCGUGACGGCGCGAGCAGGUGCGAAAGCAGGUCAUAGUGAUCCGGUGGUUCUGAAUGGAAGGGCCAUCGCUCAACGGAUAAAAGGUACUCCGGGGAUAACAGGCUGAUACCGCCCAAGAGUUCAUAUCGACGGCGGUGUUUGGCACCUCGAUGUCGGCUCAUCACAUCCUGGGGCUGAAGUAGGUCCCAAGGGUAUGGCUGUUCGCCAUUUAAAGUGGUACGCGAGCUGGGUUUAGAACGUCGUGAGACAGUUCGGUCCCUAUCUGCCGUGGGCGCUGGAGAACUGAGGGGGGCUGCUCCUAGUACGAGAGGACCGGAGUGGACGCAUCACUGGUGUUCGGGUUGUCAUGCCAAUGGCACUGCCCGGUAGCUAAAUGCGGAAGAGAUAAGUGCUGAAAGCAUCUAAGCACGAAACUUGCCCCGAGAUGAGUUCUCCCUGAGACUUAAAGUCUCCUGAAGGAACGUUGAAGACGACGACGUUGAUAGGCCGGGUGUGUAAGCGCAGCGAUGCGUUGAGCUAACCGGUACUAAUGAACCGUGAGGCUUAACCUU
rnacentral:rRNA from 1 species